ACAUUACUGGGAACCCCGACUGAGGAGCAAUGGCCGACCAUGACCAAACUGCCGGACUAUAAGCCCUACCCCAUGUAUCCGGCUACCACGUCUCUAGUGAAUGUUGUACCCAAGCUGAAUGCCACUGGAAGAGACUUGCUACAGAACUUGCUGAAGUGUAACCCGGUCCAGAGGAUUUCGGCAGACGAGGCGCUUCAACAUCCCUACUUUGCAGAUUACUGCCCCCCAUAAUGCACCCCAGAAGCUGCUUCCCACCCCCCUCCCUCUUCCUGGUCUUACAUCUUGUCGGUUACUUGCCCACCCUGCACGGCCACCUACCCCAGACUCCUCCCAGCCCCCCAUAUCAGACUGUAAUGGAGACCUACCUGCGUCCUCGUUAGUGUCCAGGUCACUCAGGUGAUAGCAGUGCAUCCUGGGUAGGCGGGGCUUGUUGGGGAAGGCUCCACCCAUUUUAGUGGGUGGAGUCCUCUACCAGUGGAAUAGGGCCAGUCAUUGAUACAAUAAUUGAACGUCUCAGGAGGGUGGGGCUUAUUGUUUCUGGGAGGAGCCUGUUCAUAACUGAUAAUCUGUGUAUUAUGUGGGUGCAGCCCAGCAGGGGGCAGAUGAGAGAAACCAUUCCAGUCAUACAGCCUUCUAUCAGGCUCUCGAAACCUCCCCUCCCCCUAAUUUAUUUUAAACCCCUCCCCCCACUGUAGGCGGAGUCCUCACAGUACCUCCCUCUUGUAUAUUUUAAUGUACAUUUUUGGAUGAUUUGUAUGCAUUUUUUUUUUCUUUUACUCUGUAAAUGUCCGCCCCGUUUCC